UACAGAGGUCUCAAGCGUUGUUCGGAUUCAUUGGGCGUAAAGGGUGCGUAGGUGGCGCGCUAAGUCAGGUGUGAAAUUUCGGAGCUUAACUCCGAAACUGCAUUUGAUACUGGCGUGCUUGAGGACUGGAGAGGAGACUGGAAUUUACGGUGUAGCGGUGAAAUGCGUAGAUAUCGUAAGGAAGACCAGUGGCGAAGGCGGGUCUCUGG
rnacentral:rRNA from 1 species